UAGGGAAUCUUCGGCAAUGGACGAAAGUCUGACCGAGCAACGCCGCGUGAGUGAAGAAGGUUUUCGGAUCGUAGAACUCUGUUGUUAGAGAAGAACAAGGACGUUAGUAACUGAACGUCCCCUGACGGUAUCUAACCAGAAAGCCACGGCUAACUACGUGCCAGCAGCCGCGGUAAUACGUAGGUGGCAAGCGUUGUCCGGAUUUAUUGGGCGUAAAGCGAGCGCAGGCGGUUUCUUAAGUCUGAUGUGAAAGCCCCCGGCUCAACCGGGGAGGGGCAUUGGAAACUGGGAGACUUGAGUGCAGAAGAGGAGAGUGGAAUUCCAUGUGUAGCGGUGAAAUGCGUAGAUAUAUGGAGGAACACCAGUGGCGAAGGCGGCUCUCUGGUCUGUAACUGACGCUGAGGCUCGAAAGCGUGGGGAGCAAACAGG
rnacentral:rRNA from 1 species